rnacentral:lncRNA from 9 species
UUUUUUUUUUUUUCAUUCUAGCAGUGUUUGUUGAGCACCUAUUGUGUACCCAACCACAUCACUCUAGGCUCAAGGAGGUCAUGGUCAGAGGAUGGUGGAGAAGCAAACAGGCCUGCUAGGAGGUCAUUACAAUGUAGUCCAGCAAUUGCUAGAAGGCGGACUGAGGAUGUCAGGGCCAAUUGCCCAAAGAUUUGAUUCUAUUUUGUUUUAUUUACUUACUUACUUACUUAAUUAAUUAAUUAUUUACUGGUUGUAGGGACUGUUGUUUUAUUUUUAUUUUAUUUUUGUAAUUAUUUCCCCAAUACAAUUUUUUUCCUACUGUACAGCAUGGUGACCCAGUUACACAUACUCAUACACAUUCUAUUUUCUUACAUUAUCAUGCUCCAUCAUAAGUGACUAGACAUAGUUCCCAGUGCCACGCAGCAGGAUCUCAUUGCUAAUCCAUUCCAAAGGCAAUAGUUUGCAUCCAUUAACUCCAAGUUCCCAAUCCACCCCACUCCCUCCCCCUCCCCCUUGUCAACCACAAGUUUAAACCAUGUUUAAACUCUGACUUUUAAGGCUUGUGAGGGUGUGUAAUGUGGUGGGGUGUUGAAGUGUUUCCCUGAAAUUGACAGAGAAGAGGGUUCUCCACAAUCACUGCUCUUGAGAACUGGUGCCAGCAGGGUCAAAUAAGCACUAUGGUUUGUUACUCAACCUCAUUGUUCCCAUUCCUGCCUUCUCUCAUACAAGCUUGUCCACAGUAGCUAGCAACAGGCCAGAUGGAAUGGUUAUAACUUUUUACUUCCUUUCUUAGCUUCUGCCCACCCAUGUUUCUUCUGGCAGUAACAACAAUGAACAGAUAAAUGGUCCAAAGGUAAGCUACAAAUUGAGAGAGUAAAAUCUAGCCACAAGCACCAUAGAUCAUCCACACCCAGCAGAAUCCCUGUUUCGGAAAAUCUCUCUCUUCCAGAUAAAUGAUUUUACACAUGUAGCCAAUUACCCUGGCAGAGCCCCAUACUGGGUUAUCCCAGGAGAGAAAUAGAGAAAUAGAAGACAAAUCAUCUGCACUUUAAGAGAUUGUAAUAAAGUUGGGAAAUAAAACCAAUGCGUGUGUGAAAACUUUAACAAGAACAUAGAACAAGAACUCUGUUAAACAAGAACCUUGUUGGGCAGAGUAUGAAUAAGUCCAAACAAAUUAUGCAGAGAGUUAUUGCUCAAAUUAGGGUCAGCCCUAAGGUUUGAGGCAGGCAGCAAAAACUUUGAGGAGUUAGAUUUUGAAGGAUGUGUGUGAUUAUUACAAAAUCAUAGAUUUCCACAAUUUGAAGGGCCUUAGAGACACAGUGCAUUCUUCAUUGCACAGAUAAAGAAACUGAGGCUCAGAGAGAGAAAAAUGUCAUAGUAAGUCAUUGAAAAUUGGGAUUACAACCAAGAUCUUCUAGUUCCCAGUCCACUACUCUUCCCUUCAGGUAUUGAGAAGGGAGGGAUGGUGUUCUAGAUGGAAAAAGGGCACAGAAACCCAAAUUCUUGAAUACUCACUCCCCAUUCUGACCCUCUCCCAGCACACACACAUACACACAUAUCUCCAAACCUGAUAUGGGAUCUCCCUUUAUUUUCCUCAAAACUUUGUUAAUCUAGAAGGUAUAUCAGAUAUCACUGAAUUCAAAUUCCAGGUCAAACACCAACUUCUUUUUAUUUAGUUAGAAAUGGGCCAUGUGUUGAUGAAUGGCCUCUCUUAUGUAACCCGCCAUCUCAAAAGCCUUGAGGUUGAGAGGCCCUCCUUCUGUUCCUUUUUGUCCCAUCACCACAAGGUAUACAGACUCGAUCUGAAUUACUGUAACUGCCUGGCUGCCCCGACUCUGGCCUUUGGUGCGGAGGUCCAUGGUGUUGUUGCCCUCAGUGUACAGGUUGUCCCGGAUCAACAAGCAUUUGGUCCCUGCAAGGGUGAUUCCCUGAAGAAACAACUUCUCUCUCCCUUCUCUCACCAGUAAGAUCUGAAUUUCUUCCUGAGUCAACUGGAACAAGUUGCCUUCAGGAUAAGAAGCUAACAACCAAGGUGGAGAAUUGGUGAUUAUUGCUGCAUCACAGCACAUCCCAGUCUGUAGGAAGAGGGUGAUGCAGUCUUGCCAGACUUCUUCACUGAUAUCCCCUAUGCACUGCAUGAUUCAAGUAAGCUGUCUCUAACAGAUGAAUGAAAUACUUUCUAGCAAGUUGUUCUUCAAAAGAAGUUUGUUGGUAAUUGGCUCAAGAUAACUGAUAAGCCGAGACUGAAAUAAACUAAAAAUACAGUCUAUUUCUGAUGGCUUUUCCCCAUAAGCAAGGUGGAGGAGGUCUUGAUGACUUAUCUGAAGUUAUGCCCCAUCAGCCCUGUGCCAUGACUUAUCUAGCUGCCACCAGAGCAAGAAUGAAGUCACAAAGGCUCUAUGACUUAUUAGUCAUAAUUGACCACAUCAUGGGUGACCUUUGACUUUAGAUUUCUGAGGCUGUAUCUCCAGCUAGUGAGAUAUUGGGCCAAGUACACUUACUUCCUUAGGAUAGUGUGGGAAGAAUACCAACCCUUAAUAAUAGAAAAGCCCUUAAAGUAGAACAUAAGUGGCUAAUAAUUAAGUUGGAGGUUUGGAUAUAAAGCAGGACAGGUGAGAUUUAUGGCAGCAAAUAAUAUCUCAGAUGUCAGCUAAUCUGAGACCAAAACUCUAGGUACAAAGUCAAAUAUCCACAGGCUCACUGAUAUAUGACUUUUUUUUUUUUGAUGAACAUAACAGCUUCUUGGUGAUUUCCUUGCCUCCAAACUCUCCCUCUAGUUGUUAUCCUCUGGCCCACACCAGCUGUGAACCUAGAAUAAUUCAUUUUCAUCUAGUCAUUCAGAAAGUAUUCACAGGGCAUUUACUGUGUGUCAAAUACUUUUCUAGGCAUUGGGGUACAGAGGUAAACAGAGAAAAACCUCACUGAUAUGACAUCAUAAUGGGAGAAGACAAAUGUAAAUAGAUGAUAAUAGUAUCCCUUUCACAGAAACUAUUUUGAGUCUAAUACGUCCUUCUUACAUUUUUUUCUCUCUUAGUCCCAGGCUUUCUCUACUCCGGUGGGGGUUCACUCUGACAUGUGACUCUUCUGCAACCUUUGGCAAAUCACCAUUUGUACCUUAUAUUCCUCUGAAAUAACACUAAUUUGCCUUAGGAGGAUUGAGCUUGAGGAUGAGAUUGAGCUUAUCAAAGGAAAGAAAAUAGAGUAGAGGAAUGAGGACAGAAGCCACGGAAAUGGAUAAAGAAAGGCAAAGAUGAGUUCAGAGCAAGGCAGAAAAGGAACAGUAAGGGAUGCGGGAAAUUAGUCUGCUUUAUAAUAAAGGCAAAGGAAAUAGAGAGUAGUACCAAAAAGGAAAGUAAAUUAACAGUGUUAAAAGCUGCAGAACAAAUGGAGAUUGCACACUGAGUAGAGCUAUUGGAUGCAGCAAUUGGAGUUCAGGAUGACAGUAAAAAAGCCAGCUGAGAGGAGUUAUUAGCAUGGAGUGAAUGCAUUCUGAAGAUGUGGAGGUGACGAUGUCUGUAGACUAUUUUUUGAGCGGUUUGGUAGUAAAAGGACCAAAAGUCAUGGAACGACAGCUCAAGGGAUAAAUGCGUCAUGGAUUGAGGGAAAGAUUUUAGGCUAGGGAAAAAAAUAGAUUAUGACAAGCAAACCCUUUAACAGAAAAUAUUAUGUACACUCAAAGGGGAAAGUAAUCAUUUCAUAGGGGAGGUGAGACUCAAACCAUAACACCAUAAUAGUUAGCUAUAAAUGAUCCUAGAUUGUGGUUCCUUACUCUCAUUGUAACCUUGGUAAACUUAAGGCCCAGAGAGGUGACAUGAUUUUCCCAAGCUCACACAACAAUUUGGUGGCAGACCUGAGUGUAAAACUCUCAGACUCUUCUUUUUGCCAUCACAAGUCUGAUUGGGAGAGCACUACUGAAUGAUUGCACCUCAUAUGUGAAGUGAAGUUAUGAGGCUACUGUAAUAGUCCAGACCUUAACUAGAAUAAUGGCAUAGACCUCUGCUGGUUGAAAGGAGUUAGAGGAGGAUAUGCUCAUAAACCAUUUCAAAAAUAUUCUAUGGUGACUUGCCCAAAGUCUCAUAGGAAGCUUUUCAGAAAUCCAGUUAUCACUCUCGGGGUAGUCUGUGCUAUUGAAAGGAUGAAAAUGCAACCUGACCCUCCCAGAACCCAGGAAGUUAAUAAGAAGCUCUAAAUGCCCCUCGAAUUCCAGACCCUGUUCCCUAUAGGUAAAAGAUCAUACUUUUUGCUGUUUUAGGGCUUGCUUUCUGUUCUGUACAAAACUAUGUGAAAGGGGAAAAACAGGCCCCUGAGUAUGUGCCUCUAGGCAUGAAACUUCUUGAAACUGCUUGAGAUAACAGGGAAAAGGGUUCCUAACUGCUUGUUUGGCUUCUGUAAAGCUGCUUGCAUAAGAUAAAAAGAGGAGAAGUUAAUCGCCUAACCCACCCCAGUAAGAUCGGUUGUGCCACAAAAUGUUGAAAAUCCUGAUAAAUGUAUCUUGGCGACAAUAUGUCUCCCCUGCCCAGGGACAGGCACAAACACGUAACUCCAGAACAACUUAAAAUUAAUUGGUCCACGAAGCGCGGGCUCUCGAAGUUUUAAAUUGACUGGUUUGUGAUAUUUUAAAAUGAUUAGUUUGUAAAAUCGCGGGCUUUGUUGUGAACCCCAUAAAAGCUGUCCCGACUCCACAGUCCUCUACCCCUCUACCCCUCUACCCCUCUACCCCUCUACCCCUCUACCCCUGCGUGGCGUACGACUGUGGGCCCCAGCGCGCUUGGAAUAAAAAUCCUCUUGCUGUUUGCAUCAAGACCGCUUCUCGUGAGUGAUUUGGGGUGUCGCCUCUUCCGAGUCCGGAAGAGGGGGAUUUUCACUCGACUGGCCUUUCACUAUCUCUGCAGAGUGCCAUUACUGUUAACAUUAGAAAAUAGUGGAAU